GGAAGGAACUGGAAAAACAUUCGCAGCACCGCGAAAAUUGAGAACUACAAAGGGAGAACCAGGGAUCAGGAUCACAGGACCAGAAAGGCCUUAACAGCGGCAGGGGCCACCAGGGCCGCGGACCUGCUGCGCGAGGAGCUGUCGCCGUAACUUCUGCCGCUCCCGGAUCUCCUGCAAGCGGCUAUCCAUGUUCCAACUCCUGCUUUUCACUACCCCGAUUACUUCUCAAUCGCCAGUGAACCCUUGUCCAACCUUUCUUCCGAGCCUGUGGAACACAAUAUUCACCGGGAGCUUAUGAACAGAGUAUCCUCACAUCUUUCCUCAGAAGAGACUUCCGGCGCGGCCGGAAUUGGCUCGCUUGGCCCGGAAGUCCCGCCUCCUUCUGGAAGCUUGCUCUGUGACGCCACUUGGAAGGGACCCGGUAAGGGGUCUGUGGCGCCACAGGGGUCUCCAGGGCCCUCGCGGGUUGGGGUGGUCUGAGCUAGUCUGAAGGAGGACAGUCAGCUGACUUCUCCUUUAUCUCUCUUUCCCAGGAUAGCAGGUUCCCUUGGUGUAUUACAGUCUCUGAAGUGUUGAUUCCCUUUUCAAUUGAUUCCACAGAUGACAGUCCUGACGUUUAAAAAAUUGCCAGAUACCUUUAAUUUUUUUUUUUUUUUUAACAGAACACAAACUUAAGCCAGAUUGCCUAGGAUUGAACCUUGGCCUCUCACUUCCUAGCCGAGUGGCCUUGGCUAGUUAACCACCUUCGUGAGCCUCAGUUUUCUCAUCUGUAAAAUGGGAGUUCUAAGUGUCUACCUCACAGAGCUGUGAUUGAAAGGAUAAAUAGCACCUGGCACAUAGCGGUGUAGAAGUGCUUAUUAUUGUUAAUAUUUUAUUUACCUUCACGCAGGUAACAGCCACAACAUCUGCCCACUCUUCCCCACACUUUACUGUCCCUUGAAAUGUUUCCCAUUUUACUAUAGUAUGCAUUUUUUGGCUUCUUCCUUUUAGGGAAAUGAGUGUGUGAUAGUAAAGUGUGUCUUGGUUUAUGUCCUAGGAGUCAGAAGCUAAGGGACUCCUUUUUGUGCUUGUACAUUUGUCUUAACUGAAAAUAACCCAAGGGUAAGGAAACAAAUAUCUUCCUGAAAUUACUCGGAUUGCGGGGGUGAGGAGUGAGGGCUGGCAGGUGGUGAUUCUGUCUUCAUAGGAUGGCAGCAAAGGCCAAAGUCUUAUUUGAGUUAUUACCAUUAUUAUUCACAUUUGCCAUUUUAUUUCAAACUCACAGUGGCGGAAGUGGACUAAGACAUCAUGUUGCCUCAAGUUUAAUUGGAAAUCGCGGUAAGUACUUAACAAAAUUAGUAAUAAGUCUGUUCUUUCAGAGUGGAUUUAAUUUUCAGAAAUAAUAUUAAGUCAUCCAGAUCAAAACCAGUUGAGUCAGGCUGGGCCAAAAGUGGGCAAGACUAGAUUCCACUAGUCAUGCCCACUUUUAUAGAAAUAAUUAUAAUGUAUUUCCCAAGAACUAGGUCUGAAAGUCAAUUUUGAACGAAUAGUCCUAAACAAUUCCUUGAGUAAUGUCAGCACUACUUGGAUACUGUAAAAUAUUUAUGUCCAUAUGAGUUAAAGUGUAUUUCUUUAAAAAUCAGUUGUAUUAUCUGGCAACCAUUUAAGUUGAAUACUGAUUUAAAUUUUACCAAUGGUGAGAAUAAGCAUUUAUUCACUUAAAUAUCUGUUGAUAUUGAUUGAGCAUUUUAUAUGGCAAGCACUGUGAUAGGCCUUAGAGUCUAUAAAGUCUGUCAAAGAUUAAAAACUAAACUCAGUUUUUCUUUAUGGAGUUUACUGUCUAAUGGAGGAUUUUUUUUUUCCUGAUUAGGUGCUAUGCAGGUUACUUGCCUGUAAUCUUGAACCGCAUACUCACCUACCCUCUGCUUCGAGAUGAUGGCUAGGCAGGGAAUCCGCAAACUACGUUUCCCAGCCUUCCUUGUUAAAUGGCUUCCUGUAAGACUCUGCCCACAGGAGGCACAGGCAGGAAAUCAAAAGGUGGAACAUGGGAAAGCUAUGGUCCAUUUAUUUUACUCUCUGCUUCUGGCAUCUAGAGCAAUGGCUAUGUCCCUUACAAAGUCUAGAGCCAGUUGGAGCAGCCCCUCCUUUCCUUACCUUAAGAAAGUGACACCCUUAACAGUGAGUGAGUUUGCUCUUGUGCUAUGAUAAUACUACUUCUACCUUCUGUUCCACCAGCUCAAGGACUGGUAGCCAUCCUGCAGUUUAAAAUUUCUGAUUUAAUCUUACUUCUCCCUUUUUGCUCUUCUAGCCUUCAGUAUCUGCUUAACUAUGUCUCCACAGUGAAUGGUGUCUGUUUAAAAUACUUUUAAUGAUUUGUUUUCCUGCCUGGAACUGUACUGAUGCAGAUAUGUACUUCCAUGUAAUAUUUACAAAACUGUUGGAGUUGGGCAGAGGGUUGUUGCAGUUUUUACAAAGAAGGGGAUAUAAUUUUGAAAUCUGUCUCCCAACUAAUGAAUUUUAAAACACCAGACCACAUCAGCAUACUUGUAGAGAAUUUUACAUGCCCAUCAGUAAAAUCUGUUCAUUAUGACAACAUAAAGGCCACUAGGGAGUGUGUGUGGCAGGAAGAGGGGGAAGAAAUUUGGAAAGUCCUCACAUAAAAUUCAUACUUUUUGAAGAAGCAAUUUACUUCUAGGCACUUAAUUUAAGGAAGUAAAGAGAGAUCCACAUUAUAAUUUAUGCAUCUCUCCCCAGGCUCCUGGAGACUGACUCCUCCAAACCUAUACUCUACAACUCAUGAUGCUCCCCAACUUAUGAAGGGGCUAUGUCCCAAUAAAUCCAUUGUAAGUCAAAAAAUCGUUAGGGCCAGGCGCGGUGGCUUACGCCUGUAAUCCUAGCACUUUGGGAGGCCAAGGCCAGCGAAUCAACAGAGGUCAGGAGGUCAGCCUGGCCAACAUGGUGAAACCCCAUCUCUACUAAAAAUACAAAAAUUAGCCAGGCGAGGUGUUGGGCGCCUGUAAUCCCAGCUACUUGGGAGGCUGAGGCAGGAGAAUCGCUUGAACUGGGGAGGCGGACGCUGCAGUGAGCUGAGAUGGCACCAUUGCACUCCAGCCUGGGCGACAGGAGCGAAACUGUAUCUCAAAAAAAAAAAACCAAAAAAAAAUCAUAAGUGGAACCUAUGUUAGUUAGGGACUGCCUGUGUAGCUAGUUGCCUGUUAUACAUCUUACUAGAAUGCCCUCCACAAUCUCUGCUAUGGUUUACAUAGCUAGUAGCUACUGUACUAAUCAGCACAUGUCUGGGUUCAAGAGUAUAAAUACCUAAACCACUUAGCAUUUUAUACAAUACUUUGUUGCCUCACUGAUACAGUUUGAAUGUAAGUUCCUGCCCAGUCUCAUGUUGAAUUGUAAUCCCCAAUUUGGAGGUGGAGGCUGGCAGUAGGUUUUUGUCUCCUCCAAAAAUUCGUAUUGAAACUUAAUCCCCAAUACAACAAUAUUGGGAGGUGUGGUGUAUGGAAGGUGAUUUAAUUAUACCGGGCUCUGCCCUCAUGAAUGGGAUUAGGUACUCUUAUAAAAAGGGUUUGUCAGAGAGAGUUCCUUUUCUGCCCUUCUACCCUCUACCAUGUAGAAUAGCAUUCCUCCCCUCUGGAGGUUGCAGCAUUCAAGAUGCCAUCUUGAAAGCAGAAACUGGACCUUCACCAGACAACAAACCUGCUGGCAACUUGAUCCUGGACUUCCCAGACUCCAAAACUGUUAGAAAUACGUUUCUGUUCUCCAUAAAUUACCCAGUCUGUGGUAUUUUAUUACAGCAGCACAACUGGACUAAGACAAUCUCAAACUUAACAUGAAUAAAACCUAAAUUUAUCAUCCACUAAAAAAAAUCAAUUUCACUCCUCUAGCAUUUCCUAUUUCAGAAAAUAGGGUCAAUAUCCACCCAUUUUCCUAAACAAGAAGCAUUCCACCUCUCCUUCAGCCUCCAUAUCUGCUCUGUGACUGUAGUUCUGCUUCUGGUUGCACCACUGACACAUACCGUUCUUCAUUUCUAUAACCACAACCUGUGGAUGACAUGUGUUCUGUUUAGUAUCCUAAUUGUCUUAUCUUUUUCCAAUCUAUCCAAUUUUUCCUAGAUAUUUGUGGGAAAUUGUAAUUUUAUCAUUUUAAACUCUGCUCAAAUUUUUUUUAUAUUUCCUGAAUAUCUAGGACAGUACUAUCCAAUAAAACUUUCUGUAAUAAUAGAAAUGUUCUACUAACAUUUAUUUCUAUACUAAUCAAUAUGGUAGCCACCGGCCAUAUGUGUCUACUGAACACUUAAAAUGUGGCUAGUGUAUUAUUAUUUUAAAAUAAAGAUUACUGAAUCUUUAAUUGUAAUUAAUUAAAUGUAAUUAGUUGUAUUUGGGUAGUAGCUACCAUAUUAGAUAGCAUAUGUCUGGGUUCAAGGGGAUAAAUUUCUAAACCACUUAGCAUUUUAUACAAUAAUUUGCUGCCUCACUAAUAGAGUGUAAAUAUAUGUCCCCACCAAAUCUCAUGUUGAAUUGUAAUCCCUGAUGUUGGAGGUAGGGCCUGGUGGUAGGUGUUUGGAUCACGGGAGCAGAUCCCUCAUGAAUGGCUUGGGCCAUUUCCUUGGUAAUAAGAGCUCUCUAUCUGAGUUCACUUGAGAUCUUGUGGUUUAAAAGUGUGUGGCACCUCCCCCUGCCCCACUCUCUGUCUCUCUUGCCUCUGCUCUGGCUAUGUGACAUGCCUGCUCCCUCUUUGCCUUUGCCAUGGUUGUAAGCUUCCUGAGGCUUCCCCAGAAGCCAAACAGAUGCCAAAACCAUGCUUCCUGUACUGCCUGAAGAACCCUAAACCAGUUAAACCUCUUCUCUUUAUAUAUUAUCCAGUCUCAGGUAUUUCCUUACAACAAUGCAAGAAUGGCCUAAAACACUCAGCCUGCUCUAUUCUCCUUUAUCUACCCAAUCUUAUAAGCACAUUAAAGUUUUGUCUUUUUUCCUAAACAUGCCUUUUUUCUUGUACUUGUUGUAAAUUUAUAAUUGAGUAAGAGAAAAUUCUCCUACAAUGAAGAGAUGGGCUCCAAAGUGACUUUUCUAAAAAUACAUUUUGUAAGCAGAAAGUUUUUUUCAGGAAUUCACAUAAGAUAAAAUGAGUGUCAGAAUCCGGUGAUAAGUUCUGUUUUCUUCCAGUGCCUUGUAAAGAAUGGACACUCAGUAGAUGCUUAUUGAUGAACCUGUUGGUUGAGGAUAACUCGCUAACUUUUCUGAGCUUUGUUGGAAAAACUAGUUUCCUGUUGUCGCCCAGGGUGGAGUGCAAUGGCACGAUAUCGGCUCACUGCAACCUCCGCCUUCCAGGUUCCAGCAAUUCUCCUACCUCAGCCUCCCAAGUAGCUGGGAUUACAGGCACCAGCCACCACACCUGGCUAAUUUUUGUAUUUUUAGUAGAGAUGGGGUUUCACCACGUUGGCUAGGCUGGUCUCAAACUCCUGACCUCAGGUGAUCUGCCCGCCUCAGCCUCCCAAAGUGCUGGGAUCAUAAGUGUGAGCCAGCGCACCCAGGCAUGUAAAAAUAAUUUUAAAGGCUUGAUUUUCUGGAAUGUAAAGUAAGAAGAGAUAUAUUUCACAGCCUGUAUGUCAAUGUCAAAUGGAAAUGUGGAGAAUUGAAUUGGAUUGAAUUAUUUUGAGAAUUUGCACCAAACAUCCCUGUUGGUUUCUUCAAAAUGACAAAAACUGUAAGGAAAGUGAGAAAUGACAAGAGACAGGGGUCUCACUAUGUGAUGCACGAUGUUCUCAAACUCCCUGGCCUCAAGCGAUCCUCCUGCCUUGAUCUCCUAAAGUGCUGGGAUUACAGGCCAGUUGCAGGCAUGAUACCAGAAGUCUGGGAGGUAGAGACAAGAGGACACGUCUCUGGCUGCUCCCCUCUUUCCCCAUGGUUAUGCGCCAACUUUGGUUUCACCAGGCUUACAGUGCUUCCCAGAGAUGGGGUUUUACUAUGUUGAAGAAGCUAGUCUCAAACUCCUGGGCUCAAGUCAUCCUCCCGCCUCAGCCUGGUUAUUGAGAUUACAGACGUGUGCCUGGCCUAUUUUACUCGUUUUGAUGUAAGUUUGUUUCAAUUCAGGAUUUUUAAGACAGCACACUUUCAAUGAUUAGGAGAGACAAAGAUGGAAAUAAAGAUUUUAUUACUUACAGGUUGAGGGCGCAUGACACUCGUGGUGGCCAUAUACACAGAGGUCAGGGAGAGAAAGGGACCUGUGGGCCAGUACCCUUAUUGGGUCCAGAGAGUUAUCCAAACAAGUUUCUAGCAGGGAGUUUAAUUGGUGGAUUUAAAGCAAGCAGGCAUGAGUUCCAGGGGGCCACACUGUGACGGAGAGGUAGUCACUAUGGCGUGUCUGCAUAGUUCGUUCCAUGUGUGAGGAUCAGCAGGGCCAGUCAAGCAGCCUGCAUCUAGCCACCACCUAGGGAAGUAGUCACCAGAGAGCAGUUGUAUAAGGCAGAUAUCUGGAUCCACCACAUUGAGGAACUGGGGGAAGGGAGCAUCAAACCGAAAACUGUGUCCAAGGUGACAGAGUCCUGCCUCCGGUGUGAGAAAGCCCAGCUUAUAUUUAAAGUGGAUGCCAAAGCAGUAUAAAAUUAUAGGAAUUCAUUACCAAACUGAUAGCUUGUGGUUUUAAUUUGCAUUUCCCCAAUGAAUAAUGGUGUUGAGCAUCAUUUCAUGUGUUUAUUUGCCAUCUUUGUUACUGUGUGCAUGAAAUAUGUCUUCAUGUCUUUUGUCCAUGUUCUAAUUGGAUUUUCUCAUACUGUUGAGUUUUGAAAAUUUUUUGUAUAUUCCAUAUACUAGUCCUUUGUUGGAUAUGUGGUUUUUAAGUAUUUUCUCCCAGUCCGUAGCUGGAGUGCAGUGGUCUGAUCUUGGCUCACUGCAACCUCCGCUUCCCGGGUUCAAGUAAUUCUCCUGCUUCAGCCUUCUGAGUAGCUGGGAUUACAGGCACCCACCACCACGCCUGGCUAAUUUUUGUAUUUUUAGAAGAGACAGGGUCUCACCAUGUUGGCCAGGCUAGUCUCAAAUUCCUGACUUCAGGAGAUCUGCCCACCUCAGCCUCCCAAAGUGCUGGGUUUACAGGGGGAGCCACCAUGCCCAGCCUCACGGAAUGAGUUUUAAUUUUGAUGAAGUUUAGGUUUUACUUUUUGGAUCAUGCAUUUGGUAUGACAUAAUAGUUAACAUUUUAUGUGUGGAAAUAUAUACAUUCUCUCAUUCCCUCUCCUCCCAUGUCCAGUCCAUUGGCAGGUCCUGUCAGCACCAUCUCUAAGAUAUAACCUAAAUGUGUGUACCUUUCUCCAUUUUUAUAGCUAUCACCAAGCUUCAAACCACCGUCAUCUCUCACUCAGUUGGUCUCCCUUAUGUCAUGUGACCUCAUAACUUAAAAUCUCCCAAAGGUUUCCCAUUCACACUUAAAAUAAAAUCCAAACUCUACCACAGUCUACAGGAACCUGCCCCAUCUGGACUCACCCUGAUGCACUUACUCCCACCUCCCUCCAUCUCACUGUGGUGCACUAAACUACAGCUACACUCCUUUCUGUUUGUUUAUAUUCUCACCCAACUCAGACACAACCAGCUCCUUCUCACUUCGGGUCCUUGUAUAUGAAGGCCCCUCCCCAACGUUUGCAGGACUAGCUUCUCAUUCAGAACUCAGUUCAAAUGUCAACUUCCCCAAGAAGCCUUCACUCAUCACCAUAUGUAAAGUAGCUUAUCUUUCUCAUCACUUUGUAUUAUGACUCUUAUUUUUAUAUAGCACUUUAUUAGCUGAAGUUAUUUAUUUGUUUAGUCUGCAUACCCCUAGUCAAAUGUAAGCUAUCAGAGCAGUGACCUUGCCUGUCAUGUUCAGCCCUACAUCUCAAACUCCCAGCACAUGGCGGUCACUCAGUUAAUAUUUAUUAAAUAUUGAACACUUCUUUCUUUUUCAAAAAGCAAAUUUCCUUUUGAGUAUUCAGCUACUGGUAGAUUAAACAUGUCCUCAAAGGAAACUAUUUGUAAUCACGCUAAUUAAUUAGAGGAAAAAAGGUAAGAGAAUUCUAGUUUCUGAAUAAAUUAACUCAUGCUACUAAGUCAUGUCCUUUACUCAUGUUACCCGAGGUACGCAAAUAUAAUGUAGAGUAAAAUAUAUCUCAAGUAUAUCUUGAUUCCAACUGCAAGAGGAUACCAUUAUUGUGUAGUCACAAACUCCAAAAACUAUGUAAAUUUGUAUCCUCAGCUUCAGCAGUAAUUCUAUGACUUACCCUAGGCAAGCCUGAACAGGUCUCUACAGCUUAGUUUCUUAUUUUGUUAAAGGGAUUUAAUACAAGCUUACCUCACCAAGAUGCUAUGUAAAACAGUUUCUAUUUAUUGCAAGUACUCUAUGAUUUUUGUGUCUAUUGGUGUGGAACAACACACUGAUUACAUGAUGGCAUCAAAAAUUUUGUGCCAUGAAGGAUGCCAAAUUCUUGGAGAUACUAGAGGGAUUAUAGUGCAUAUGACUAAUUAAUUUUGGGGAUUGUGUUGCAGUUACAUCUAAAGACAAAUUUGGAAUUUAGGCUGAAGAAUUGUCUCAAAUCAUUUUAAAUUGUGUUUUUAGAAUAUGACACUUAAAUAUCUCAGGAUAGCCUCAAAACUUUAGUAGAAAAUCAGGGAAAUAUGCCUAAAUAUCUCAGGAGAGCCUCAAAACUUUAGUAGAAAAUCCAGGAAAUAUGCCUUAUAAGCUUAUAAAGUUAUAAAAUUUAUGUGUUUUAUGUAUUAUAUAAAUAGAGCAUUGCAGACACAUUCCUUAUUUUGAAAUGAAAAAACUUUCUGAUAUUAGCAUUCAUUUUCUUAAGACCCUGUGGAACUCAACAAAACAAUAGAGCUGGAGAAAGGAUUGCUAACUUAUCCAAGAUAUAGUUCUGAUUCUGAAUGGGUACUAUCCAUCUUUCUCAAAGAAACUGGGACUUGCAAUAAAUAUAGUUUGAUAGGAUGCAUUAUGUGGAGUUUUUUCAAAGAUUUUAAAAUGUCAAAAGAGCCUUAUAAUUACUUUACUAUAAGUAGCCAUAAUACUGCAAUAGAAUUCAGCAAAAUCAUUUAUCAAAUUAAAAUUUUUGUUUACAAAUAUAAAAUAGGUUUUUAAAAUUCUGAAGUCAUCAAAAUGAACUAGCUUUCUGACUUGAAUUGAGUCAUCUAGCCACACUGUAUUAGAGAUUCCUCAAUUGCAAUUCAAAGGAAAUGAAAUAAUUCAGUGAUUCUCACACAUUUGGGUCAAGGACACCUUUCCCUCUUAAAAACUGAGGACCUCAAAGAGCUUAAUUUAUGUUUAUGUGGAUUAUAUCAAUCAUUAUUUACCAUAUUAGAAAUUAAAACUAUCAUUAAGAUAAAAACUGAGAUACUUACUGAUUAAUUCAUUUAAAAAUAAGUAAAUAUUCUAUUACAUGUUAUCAUAAGCAGUAUAUUGUAUAAAAAAAACUGUAUUUUCCAAAGAUAGCUUUUUUUUUAAGAAGAGUGACAUUGUUUUACAUUUUUUCAAACCUGUUUAAUGUCUAGCUUAAUAAAAGGUGGCUGG